rnacentral:rRNA from 1 species
UGCAGUCGAGCGNNNGAUGAAGAAGCUUGCUUCUUCUGAUUUUAGCGNNNNNNGGGUGAGUAACACGUGGGCAACCUACCUUGUAGAUUGGGAUAACUCCGGGAAACCGGGGCUAAUACCGAAUAAUCCAUUUUGCUUCAUGGCGAAAUGUUAAAAGGCGGCGAUCUCGCUGUCACUGCAAGAUGGGCCCGCGGCGCAUUAGCUAGUUGGUAAGGUAACGGCUUACCAAGGCGACGAUGCGUAGCCGACCUGAGAGGGUGAUCGGCCACACUGGGACUGAGACACGGCCCAGACUCCUACGGGAGGCAGCAGUAGGGAAUCUUCCACAAUGGACGAAAGUCUGAUGGAGCAACGCCGCGUGAGUGAAGAAGGUUUUCGGAUCGUAAAACUCUGUUGUAAGGGAAGAACACGUACGAGAGUAACUGCUCGUACCUUGACGGUACCUUAUUAGAAAGCCACGGCUAACUACGUGCCAGCAGCCGCGGUAAUACGUAGGUGGCAAGCGUUGUCCGGAAUUAUUGGGCGUAAAGCGCGCGCAGGCGGUCCUUUAAGUCUGACGUGAAAGCCCACGGCUCNANCGUGGNNGGUCAUUNGNAANCUGGGGGACUUGAGUACAGAAGAGGAAAGCGGAAUUCCAAGUGUAGCGGNGAAAUGNGUANAGAUUU